GGGAAUCUGGAGAUCAGGCCCUCGUCGCCGUCGAGAGACGGCGGUGGCCUCGACAUCCUCGGCGGGGCGGGUUGGUGGAGUCACGUGUCCUGGUGGCCAGGCGACAUGCCCGACCCCGCCCACCUGUCACAGUCUGAAGUCACUGCUUACGUCACGGCUUUCUUCCUUCUCGUGGUCCUCUUUAUGGGCUCUACGUUGGCGUGUAUUUACAACCUCCAAAAAUCUCCGAGUAGAAGUUAAGUUGGGGAUACAUGCUUGUAUUUCGUGCGGGGAGAUUUAAGCUGUGUUGAACGCGAACGCUCCGUGCUGCUGCUUAUUAGCGUUGGGGAAAGAAGACAAACAGAAAGUAAGUAGAGAAAGGAGAGGAAACACUGGCAGAGAAAAAAACGAGGAAAGG